rnacentral:rRNA from 1 species
UACGUAGGGGGCAAGCGUUGUCCGGAAUCAUUGGGCGUAAAGCGCGCGUAGGCGGCCCUGUAAGUCCGUUGUGAAAGUCGAAGGCUCAACCUUCGAAAGCCGAUGGAUACUGCAGGGCUAGAGUCCGGAAGAGGCGAGUGGAAUUCCUGGUGUAGCGGUGGAAUGCGCAGAUAUCAGGAGGAACACCAAUUGCGAAGGCAGCUCGCUGGGACGUUACUGACGCUGAGACGCGAAAGCGUGGGGAGCAAACAGG